rnacentral:sRNA from 1 species
UUCAACCUAUAUAUUUUAACGGGUCAAAAUUUUGUCAUGUCUAAAAACAAUCAUGUGUCAACACCAUGUCAGAAUAAUGUGCGCGGCGACCUCUUAACCUCAGUCUUACUAGCCAAUGUCCGACGAUCAGAUGUCACGCGCAUGCAACCCCGGAUAUCAUAUACCCAAGUUGCAGUUGCCGAAACCAUGUGCGUCUCUCUAGGGAACUUUGCUAUUUUUGCCCUGGUGGCAUCUUCGCUAGCCAUGGCUCAACAUUCUACCCCCUUGCCAGAAAGAGGGGUAAAAUUUUGUUUAAUACCGUGUAGAGAAAUCCGUGUUAAUGCCAGCGAAAUUCGCGAAGUGUUUGUUAGUCACUGUGCACUGGCUAAAGUGGUGAUCGUAGGAGACCCGCGGACUGUCACGGUUCGGGACUCUGCAGGACCAUGUGCAACCACAGCAACGUUAACAACAACAACAUCCUCUAGCACCACAUUAAUGCGGACAACAACAACAUCCUCUGACACCGUAUCAAAGCUGACAACAAUGACGUCUAACACCACCACAACUAUGCUGCAGACAACAACACCCUCUAGCACAACAACAACACCCUCUAGCACCACAGAAACGCCCUCUAGCACCACAACAACGACCUCUAGCACCAAAGAAACGCCCUCUAGCACCACAACAACGCCCUCUAGCACCACAGAAACGCCCUCUAGCACCACAGAAACGCCCUCUAACACCACAACAACGCCCUCUAGCACCACAUUAAUGCUACAGACAACAACAGCAUUCUCUAACACCACACCAAUGUUGACAACUGUAACGUCCAUCUCUAACACCACAUCUCAAGAAUCAACAUUGGAGAAGUUAAAAAGAUUGCUUCUGAAAAUGAAAGAUGAGGAAGGGGAGACCCUAUCAGACAAAGCCUGGGGAUUUUUAGCAUGGGCCAUAGCCACUUCACUGGCUGUAGGAUUGAUUGUGCUAAAAAAAUGGCUUAAGCAAUUCCUACAAAAGCACUCUCCAAGCACUCCUCCAAGCACUCAACCCUCCACCGAAACUCCAAGCACUCAACCCUCCACCGAAACUCCUACCAACAACCUUAACAUCAGCCAAAUCCCGUUGAUUCAGCACACCCCUGAUUCACAGGCUACGACACCUUCACCACAAUGCAGCAUUACUGUGGAGGAACCAGUUGCCUCGAGAACCAGAACAAAGUGUUCGAGGGAGUUAAAAUUAAUGUGA